rnacentral:lncRNA from 1 species
GUUUUCUCACUUUCUCAACCGCCCCCUCCUUUCUCAACCGCCCCCUCCUCACGAACUCACAAAGCAACGAAGUGUUAUCAUCAAAGAUCCAUACGAUUCGAAGUGAAUGAAGGGUUUCCAUCGAAGAUCGAGACGAUUCGAAGUGAACGAAGGUUGAUGUGAUAAACUGGGUGGGUAGCUGCAGAGUGAAUUACAUUGGAAGGAUAGAGUUUUGAGUUCAAGUUUUAUGGCAGUGACAUGUUUUGAGUAAUCAUAGCUGCUUCCAUUUCUAUCCCAUGUGCAGAAAUCGCUGAAGUGAAAUUGGUGAGAAGUUAACAAAGUUCUAGAGAAUUAUUUUUAUUUGCUUUUCUUUUUAUGAACAUUGUAUAUUUCAUUUGCUGUAUCUGGGAUAAAAAAUGAUGAUUGAUUUUCGGAUAUCCGUUUAA